CCUUAGAGUUUGAUCCUGGCUCAGGAUGAACGCUAGCUACAGGCUUAACACAUGCAAGUCGAGGGGAAACGAUAUUGGAAGCUUGCUUCCGAUAGGCGUCGACCGGCGCACGGGUGAGUAACGCGUAUCCAACCUGCCCAUCACUUGGGGGAUAACCUUGCGAAAGUAAGACUAAUACCCAAUGACGUCUCUAGAAGACAUCUGAAAGAGAUUAAAGAUUUAUCGGUGAUGGAUGGGGAUGCGUCUGAUUAGCUUGUUGGCGGGGUAACGGCCCACCAAGGCGACGAUCAGUAGGGGUUCUGAGAGGAAGGUCCCCCACAUUGGAACUGAGACACGGUCCAAACUCCUACGGGAGGCAGCAGUGAGGAAUAUUGGUCAAUGGGCGAGAGCCUGAACCAGCCAAGUAGCGUGCAGGAUGACGGCCCUAUGGGUUGUAAACUGCUUUUAUAAGGGAAUAAAGUGAGAGUCGUGACUCUUUUUGCAUGUACCUUAUGAAUAAGGACCGGCUAAUUCCGUGCCAGCAGCCGCGGUAAUACGGAAGGUCCGGGCGUUAUCCGGAUUUAUUGGGUUUAAAGGGAGCGUAGGCCGGAGAUUAAGCGUGUUGUGAAAUGUAGAUGCUCAACAUCUGCACUGCAGCGCGAACUGGUUUCCUUGAGUACGCACAAAGUGGGCGGAAUUCGUGGUGUAGCGGUGAAAUGCUUAGAUAUCACGAAGAACUCCGAUUGCGAAGGCAGCUCACUGGAGCGCAACUGACGCUGAAGCUCGAAAGUGCGGGUAUCGAACAGGAUUAGAUACCCUGGUAGUCCGCACGGUAAACGAUGGAUGCCCGCUGUUGGUCUGAAUAGGUCAGCGGCCAAGCGAAAGCAUUAAGCAUCCCACCUGGGGAGUACGCCGGCAACGGUGAAACUCAAAGGAAUUGACGGAAGGGCGA
rnacentral:rRNA from 1 species